GCUCAGUUACGGCGAGUGAAGCGGCAAAAGCUCAAAUUUGAAAUCUAGCACCUUCGGUGUUCGAGUUGUAAUUUGAAGAUGGUAACCUUGGGUUUGGCUCUUGUCUAUGUUCCUUGGAACAGGACGUCAUAGAGGGUGAGAAUCCCGUCUGAUGAGAUGCCCAUUCCUAUGUAAGGUGCUAUCGAAGAGUCGAGUUGUUUGGGAAUGCAGCUCUAAGUGGGUGGUAAAUUCCAUCUAAAGCUAAAUAUUGGCGAGAGACCGAUAGCGAACAAGUACAGUGAUGGAAAGAUGAAAAGAACUUUGAAAAGAGAGUGAAAAAGUACGUGAAAUUGUUGAAAGGGAAGGGCAUUAGAUCAGACUUGGUGUUUUACGAUUAUCUUCUCUUCUUGAGUUGUGCACUCGUAUUUCACUGGGCCAGCAUCGAUUCGGAUGGCAAGAUAAUGGCAGUUGAAUGUGGCUUCACUUCGGUGGAGUGUUAUAGCUUCUGCUGAUAUUGCCUGUCUGGAUCGAGGGCUGCGUCUUUUGACUAGGAUGCUGGCGUAAUGAUCUAAUGCCGCCCGUCU
rnacentral:rRNA from 1 species